rnacentral:sRNA from 1 species
UUGUAUUGUUGGAGUACAGCGCCGAUGGC